UUAAAUUGAGUUAAACCAGAAUAAAGGAGAUCUAAUUUCUUUGGGGUUUUUCAACAUUUGAACUUAGUAUUGGGGUUGGGGAUGAGGUGUGUAUUUCGUAGAUGCAGACGCCGCCUCAUCGCCAGGAGGAGGAGGUACGAAAACCGUCUCAAAGAAGAAAAAGUGAUGCCUCUGCCACAAAUGCCACCACUGCUGAAGAUUGUUGUAAUAUUAAUGAAGACUCUGUAGGCAUAUCUGAGAAACAAGGAAAACCAAACACAAAAAGACCACCCUCCAAAAAAGACGACAACAAGAGCCAUCGUGGAUAGUUGAAAUAUACAGCAGAAUUAAAGACCAUGCACGCAGAGCGGAUGGAGUUAGAUAAAGAGAAACUUAAACUAGAGGAAAGGAUGGUUGCUGUGUUAGAAAACUAUUAAAAGACAAUUAAAAU